rnacentral:snoRNA from 1 species
CUCUUAUGAUGAUCGGUUUUAAUUAUCAGUUCUGCUACUGAACAUUCAUGUGGAAAUCUUCUACCAAGCUUACCAUGUCUGAUUU